GCCUCUGUGGUGUAGUCGUAGAGCACGCUUCAUAGGAGACGAUGAAACGCGGGUUCGAUUCCCGCCUAAGGCC